AAUGCAAUGGUUGCUAACAACAAAAUACCCAGAGAUACAAGAAAAAACAAUUUGUAUUCUAAUCUUUACUUUCUGAUGACUCUCACCAUUUCCUUCCCUAAAGCUGGAUUUGAACAGAUCCAAGUAAUCAUUUUCCACAAAGAUUUCUUUGAUAGAGAGGCUUCCACCUGCUUCAACAAUGUGCUCAAAAAUGGAAGGUUGCUCAUUGUCUUUCUACAAUAGAAAGUGACCUUGUCUCAGUAUCCAUCUGCGCUGGUUGAUCAGUGACAUAAUCUGCUGAAAGUCCUGAAAGGAAAAUGUUCUUUGUCAGGAUGUGUCUGUACCAGCUAAUACCAACAAGCUGCUCCAUCCACUCCAUGCCAGUUUAAUUGGGAUGGGAGUAGAGCACCGGCUUCUGAUAAUAGCCAUCUGGACUGAGAGGGAAACCUGGGAAUUGUAGCAUGUUCUGUGAGAAUAGAAUGUAGCCGUUAGAAGUAGAUAGUAGGAGGGGUCAUGGGUCAACUAGAUGAUAUACUACCAGCUUAGUGGGGGAAAUAGUCAGACCUAGCUUUUGAUUCUCCUUGGCAAGAAGGAAAAAUAAAGCUGUUUCCAAGGACC